CGCUUUGGGAUGAGUUUGCGUAUCAUUAGCUAGUUGGUAGGGUAAUGGCCUACCAAGGCGACGAUGAUUAGCCGACCUGAGAGGGUGAUCGGCCACACUGGGACUGAGAUACGGCCCAGACUCCUACGGGAGGCAGCAGUGGGGAAUAUUGGACAAUGGGCGAAAGCCUGAUCCAGCAACGCCGCGUGAAGGAAGAAGGUCUUCGGAUUGUAAACUUCUGUUAUAGGGGAAAAAGAAAGUGAUGGUACCCUAUGAGAAAGCCAUGGCUAACUACGUGCCAGCAGCCGCGGUAAAACGUAGGUGGCAAGCGUUAUCCGGAAUUACUGGGCGUAAAGGGAGUGUAGGUGGCUUGAUAAGUCACAUGUGAAAGCCCACGGCUUAACCGUGGAAGUGCAUGUGAUACUGUUGAGCUAGAGUGUAGGAGAGGUGAGUGGAAUUCCUAGUGUAGCGGUAGAAUGCGUAGAGAUUAGGAGGAACACCAGAGGCGAAGGCGACUCACUGGACUAUAACUGACACUGAGACUCGAAAGCGUGGGGAGCAAACAGGAUUAGAUACCCUGGUAGUCCACGCCCUAAACGAUGGAUACUAGAUGUGGGGAGUAUCGACUCUUCCCGUGUCGUAGCUAACGCGUUAAGUAUCCCGCCUGGGGAGUACGGUCGCAAGAUUAAAACUCAAAGGAAUUGACGGGACCCCGCACAAGCAGCGGAGCAUGUCGUUUAAUUCGAAGCAACGCGAAGAACCUUACCAAGGCUUGACAUUAGAUGCAUAGUAUGGAAACAUAUGAAGUUUUGUAUGUAGCAAUACAGAACAUCCAAACAGAUGGUGCAUGGUUGUCGUCAGCUCGUGUCGUGAGAUGUUGGGUUAAGUCCCGCAACGAGCGCAACCCUUGUCGUUAGUUACCAGCACGUAAUGGUGGGAACUCUAGCGACUGCCGUUGAUAAAACGGAGGAAGGUGGGGAUGACGUCAAAUCAUCAUGCCUCUUACGCCUUGGGCUACACACGUGCUACAAUGGCCGUUACAAAGAGAUGCGAAGUAGUAAUAUGGAGCGAAACUCAAAAAGGCGGUCUCAGUUCAGAUUGUGGGCUGCAACCCGCCCACAUGAAGAUGGAGUUGCUAGUAAUCGCGGAUCAGCAU
rnacentral:rRNA from 1 species